AAUAGUCUCGAUGGGCUACCACCGGCCUUUCAAUGGUGUCAUUGUCUCUUUCCCUUCCUUCCUCUCUCUCUCCUCUCUUUCUCUCAUUCCCUCUCCUUCUUCCGGUGUUCCGAUUUGGAUGGUUGAACCAUCCCAAUUUAUGGCCGGUAGAGCUCGGAAUGCCUUGAACCAUCCUAGUUUGGGAUAGUUCGGAGAACGCUAAACUUGAGUGGUAGCUGGAGGAAAGGAUCU
rnacentral:lncRNA from 1 species